UACUCACCCCUAGGAUUGGGGGGCGGAUCUGGACUUGUGAAAAUUACUAAGGAAAAGGAAAAGGACUUAGGCUCGGACACUCUAAUUAGUGCAGAACCUAAACAACUCACCCGACCCCGCGCUGCCGAGGUCGGGACGGCAUAGGGAAAAAGUGACAACAAAAAAAAAUAUAAAGCAAAUCUUAGAAAGGAACAAUCAUAUAAAAAUUCAUAUUUAACAUUCAUGUUUUGAAUAUACACAAUACAAGGCCCACUGGCCUUUGUCGUUUACAAAAAGAGAAAAAACUAACUUAAGAGCCUCAUUGCCCUGCCUCACC
rnacentral:lncRNA from 1 species